rnacentral:rRNA from 1 species
UACGUAGGGUGCAAGCGUUAAUCGGAAUUACUGGGCGUAAAGCGUGCGCAGGCGGUUCGGAAAGAGAGGUGUGAAAUCCCCGGGCUUAACCUGGGAACUGCAUUUGUGACUGCAAGGCUGGAGUGCGGCAGAGGGGGAUGGAAUUCCGCGUGUAGCAGUGAAAUGCGUAGAUAUGCGGAGGAACACCGAUGGCGAAGGCAAUCCCCUGGGCCUGCACUGACGCUCAUGCACGAAAGCGUGGGGAGCAAACAGG